AACUGAUACUACCUGCGGGAACCUGCGGAAGGAUCAUUAUCAAUUUACAGCGGACUUCGGUCCUGUCUGCACCCUUGUCUUUUGCGUACUAUAUGUUUCCUCGGUGGGCUUGCCUGCCGAUAGGACACUUAUAAACUCUUUUGUAAUUGCAAUCAGCGUCAGAAAACUAUAAUAGUUACAACUUUUAACAACGGAUCUCU
rnacentral:misc_RNA from 1 species